UAGCCAUGUUGUGGACAUGAGUUUAUGAGAUCCUUAAAUCGCUCCCAACAUUAGAAUAAGGUCUCAUCUUCUUUUUGCAUAAAAUUCAUAUUUGAUUUCCUUUAGCUA